rnacentral:rRNA from 1 species
AUUGAACGCUGGCGGCAGGCUUAACACAUGCAAGUCGAACGAUUGGCGGACGGGUGAGUAAUGCUUGGGAAUCUAGCUUACGGAGGGGGAUAACUACGGGAAACAGUAGCUAAUUCCGCGUACUCUAGGAUGAGCCCAAGCGUGAUUAGGUAGUUGGUGAGGGAAUGGCUCACCAAGCCGACGAGCUCUAGCUGGGCUGAGAGGAUGACCAGCCACACGGGGACUGAGGCCAGGCCCAGAAUCCUACGGGAGGCGUGCGGGGAGAAGAUUGCGCAAUGGGGGCAACCUGAAGCAGCCAUGCCGCGUGAAUGAAUAGGGCAUUCGGGUUGUAAAGUUCUUAAGGUAGCGAGGCGUUAACUUCAGAAGAAGCACCUGCUAACUCCGUGCCAGCAGCCGCGGUAAUAC